AUUGAACGCUGGCGGCAUGCUUUACACAUGCAAGUCGAACGGUAACAGGCCUUCGGGUGCUGACGAGUGGCGAACGGGUGAGUAAUGCAUCGGUACGUGCCCAGAGGUGGGGGAUAACGCAGCGAAAGCUGUGCUAAUACCGCAUGUGAUCUGAGGAUGAAAGCGGGGGACCAGGCAGCAAUGUUUGGCCUCGCGCCUUUGGAGCGGCCGAUGUCAGAUUAGGUAGUUGGUGGGGUAAAGGCCUACCAAGCCGACGAUCUGUAGCUGGUCUGAGAGGACGACCAGCCACACUGGGACUGAGACACGGCCCAGACUCCUACGGGAGGCAGCAGUGGGGAAUUUUGGACAAUGGGCGCAAGCCUGAUCCAGCAAUGCCGCGUGCGGGAAGAAGGCCUUCGGGUUGUAAACCGCUUUUGUACGGAACGAAAAGGCUCUGGCUAAUACCUGGGGCUGAUGACGGUACCGUAAGAAUAAGCACCGGCUAACUACGUG
rnacentral:rRNA from 1 species